UAGUGGCGAACGGGUGAGUAACACGUGGGCAAUCUGCCCUGCACUCUGGGACAAGCCCUGGAAACGGGGUCUAAUACCGGAUACCACCCGGGGGCGCAUGCCCUUGGGUUGAAAGCUCCGGCGGUGCAGGAUGAGCCCGCGGCCUAUCAGCUUGUUGGUGGGGUGAUGGCCUACCAAGGCGACGACGGGUAGCCGGCCUGAGAGGGCGACCGGCCACACUGGGACUGAGACACGGCCCAGACUCCUACGGGAGGCAGCAGUGGGGAAUAUUGCACAAUGGGCGAAAGCCUGAUGCAGCGACGCCGCGUGAGGGAUGACGGCCUUCGGGUUGUAAACCUCUUUCAGCAGGGAAGAAGCGAGAGUGACGGUACCUGCAGAAGAAGCGCCGGCUAACUACGUGCCAGCAGCCGCGGUAAUACGUAGGGCGCAAGCGUUGUCCGGAAUUAUUGGGCGUAAAGAGCUCGUAGGCGGCUUGUCACGUCGGGUGUGAAAGCCCGGGGCUUAACCCCGGGUCUGCAUUCGAUACGGGCAGGCUAGAGUGUGGUAGGGGAGAUCGGAAUUCCU
rnacentral:rRNA from 1 species